rnacentral:rRNA from 1 species
CAGCCGCCGCGGGAAUACAGAGGGUGCGAGCGUUAAUCGGAUUUACUGGGCGUAAAGCGUGCGUAGGCGGCUAAUUGAGUCGGAUGUGAAAUCCCCGAGCUUAACUUGGGAAUUGCAUUCGAUACUGGUUAGCUAGAGUGUGGGAGAGGAUGGUAGAAUUCCAGGUGUAGCGGUGAAAUGCGUAGAGAUCUGGAGGAAUACCGAUGGCGAAGGCAGCCAUCUGGCCUAACACUGACGCUGAGGUACGAAAGCAUGGGGAGCAAACAGGAUUAGAUACCCCCGUAGUCCCUGUCUCUUAUAA